rnacentral:lncRNA from 1 species
AUGUAGUCAUCUUUAUUAAUUAUUUUACAAAGGUCUGAUAAAAACAUACAUCAAAUCACCCGGAGCCACAAUUUACACCUACAGAUUCGAUAAUAUGGAGUGCCCUCAAUCCUCAUAUCUAAAAUCGGUGUUGUCGCCAAUCCAUCCACAUAGCGUAUCGGGACCAACAACCGAUGCAGCAGACCUAAAGCGCACAGAUUAAAAGCCGCCAUCAUCAUCGGUCCAUUGAUCUAUCUUCAGGAGAGAGAUUCGUAUCAUCUUUGCAAGUCCGAGCAUCCGUCGACGCCACCACGGCGCCAAACAGCACCACCACCCUGCGCUCAUCC